UAGGUUAACGAGGCGAACCGGGGGAACUGAAACAUCUAAGUACCCCGAGGAAAAGAAAUCAACCGAGAUUCCCCCAGUAGCGGCGAGCGAACGGGGAGCAGCCCAGAGUCUGAAUCAGCUUGUGUGUUAGUGGAACGGUCUGGAAAGUCCGACGGUACAGGGUGAUAGUCCCGUACACCAAAAUGCACAGGUUGUGAACUCGAAGAGUAGGGCGGGACACGUGGUAUCCUGUCUGAAUAUGGGGGGACCAUCCUCCAAGGCUAAAUACUCCUGACUGACCGAUAGUGAACCAGUACCGUGAGGGAAAGGCGAAAAGAACCCCGGCGAGGGGAGUGAAAAAGAACCUGAAACCGUGUACGUACAAGCAGUGGGAGCACCUUCGGGUGUGACUGCGUACCUUUUGUAUAAUGGGUCAGCGACUUAUAUUCUGUAGCAAGGUUAACCGUAUAGGGGAGCCGCAGGGAAACCGAGUCUUAACUGGGCGUUAAGUUGCAGGGUAUAGACCCGAAACCCGGUGAUCUAGCCAUGGGCAGGUUGAAGGUUGGGUAACACUAACUGGAGGACCGAACCGACUAAUGUUGAAAAAUUAGCGGAUGACUUGUGGCUGGGGGUGAAAGGCCAAUCAAACCGGGAGAUAGCUGGUUCUCCCCGAAAGCUAUUUAGGUAGCGCCUCGUGAAUUCAUCUUCGGGGGUAGAGCACUGUUUCGGCUAGGGGGUCAUCCCGACUUACCAACCCGAUGCAAACUACGAAUACCGAAG
rnacentral:rRNA from 1 species